GGAGGCCACUGCUAUUGGAGUCUGACUAAGCCAUGCGAGUCCAGGGGGGCUUUGCCCACCGGCGGACGGCUCAGUAACACGUGGACAACCUGCCCUCAGGAGGGGGAUAAUCCUGGGAAACUGGGACUAAACCCCCAUAGGUCACGGAGGCUGGAAGGCGCUGUGACCGAAAUUCCGAAAGGAGCCUGAGGAUGGGUCUGCGGCCUAUCAGGUUGUAGUGGGGGUAACGGCCCCACUAGCCUACGACGGGUACGGGCCCUGAGAGGGGGAGCCCGGAGAUGGACUCUGAGACACGAGUCCAGGCCCUACGGGGCGCAGCAGGCGCGAAACCUCCGCAAUGCUCGAAAGAGCGACGGGGGGACUCCGAGUGCCUACGCUUUGCGUAGGCUUUUCCCGAGUCUACAAAGCUCGGGGAAUAAGGGCUGGGUAAGACGGGUGCCAGCCGCCGCGGUAAUACCCGCAGCUCGAGUGGUGGCCGCUUUUAUUGGGCCUAAAGCGUCCGUAGCCGGUCUGGUAAAUGCCUGGGUAAAUCGUAGGGCUUAACCCUACGGCCCCCAGGUAGACUGCCAGACUUGGGACCGGAGGAGGGAGAGGGUACUCCAGGGGUAGGGGUGAAAUCAGCAGGGUGAGCCAAUGAUAGGCUUGCCUUGUAAGUCACAAUCCUGUAAUCCCUGGAGGACCACCGGUGGCGAAGGCGCUCUCCUAGGACGGGUCCGACGGUGAGGGACGAAAGCCAGGGGAGCAAACCGGAUUAGAUACCCGGGUAGUCCUGGCCGUAAACGAUGUGGACUUGGUAUUGGGAUGGCUACGGGCUGUCCCAGUGUCGUAGGGAAGCCGUUAAGUCCACCGCCUGGGGAGUACGGUCGCAAGGCUGAAACUUAAAGGAAUUGGCGGGGGAGCACUGCAACGGGAGGAGCGUGCGGUUUAAUUGGAUUCAACGCCGGAAAGCUCACCGGGGGAGACUGCCGUAUGUGAGCCAGGCUGAAGACCUUGCUCGAAUAAUAGGCAGAGAGGUGGUGCAUGGCCGUCGUCAGCUCGUACCGUAAGGCGUUCUGUUAAGUCAGGUAACGAGCGAGACCCCCGCCCUUAGUUGCUACCUGUCCCUCCGGGGACAGAGCACACUAAGGGGACUGCCGGCGAUAAGCUGGAGGAAGGAGGGGGCAACGGUAGGUCAGUAUGCCCUGAAUCCCCCGGGCUACACGCGCGCUACAAAGGCUGGGACAAUGGGUUGCGAUGCCGAAAGGCAAAGCUAAUCCCUAAACCCAGUCGUAGUUCGGAUCGAGGGCUGAAACUCGCCCUCGUGAAGGUGGAUUCCGUAGUAAUCGCGGGUCAGCAUCCCGCGGGGAAGUUACCCCUGCUCCUUGCACACACCGCCCGUCAA
rnacentral:rRNA from 1 species